UGUUCCCUGUGCCUUGUGAUCGAGGGGGCACGCGGUCAGUGGUGCCCAGCUCAUAGCAGCCAGGGACAGAGCAAUUCCUUGUUCAUCCCAGCAUUGCUUUUGGUCUGUGCUCUUGCUUGGUUCAUGCCCUGGAUAUAUAU